ACAGCACAAUGGCCCUUUGGAACGUGGUUAUAAGGGAAAAUGAUGCUUCUUGUAUCGGAAUAAUUGCAAACUAGACUAGCAAAGUGCUCAUCUGCUGGGUGGUUGUUUGGAUUACUCUGGCCCUGCUAUUGUCUGAGAAGAAAUAAGUGCGCGGUUCCAAGCCUGUAGCCCCAAAUCGGAUAAUCUCUGCAGCUGAUAACAAGCAAAAGAGAAGCCAGGCAACAGCCAUAGUAAAGAAGAAAACAAUCAACUCUGAGGGUACAGACAGGCAUGCAGAAGUAACUAGACGUCCAACACAUGCCAAGGUCUUGCGGGCCCAGGAUUUCGAACAAAAGAAAACUCGAUCCAACUUAGAAAUAAUGUUUCACUCAAGAUAAGGCUUGUGGUUUAGGAAGAUUCUGGCCUGGCUUGCUUCACUUUAAGUCUUCUAUCAUCUCUUUUCAAAACCUGAGGAGGACCUCAUUUCCUGUUUGAUAGUUCUUCAUGCUUUGCCAGCCUCCGGGUCUUUAAGGAAGCUUGCCAAGAGUUCCCGGCUGGGAAGGACAGUCUGAGUUCAUCAUAGAGAAUGAGCUGGCACCAGAGUUGUAGUGACUCACCAACCUCAUUGCCCACUCUGCAAUAGCAAGCACCACACUCUCUAAUUGAAAGACCUGUGUUUUAGUAAAGUGCAGUUGGAUCACAUGACAAAAUCAUCUCGAAAUAUAUUGCCAGUCUUUCCUUUCACUGGGUGUUUUGAACACAAGACAAGAAAGGAAAUUAAAUUCUGAAUUAUAUAUAUAUAUUUUUAAAUUAAGAUUAAUUAACAGAUACUUGGUUUUGUGUCCAUUCUGUUCUAGGAAUUUAGUGGUGAUUACAAAGCAGUGAAAAUAGGUCACAGCAAAGUGAACAUUCAAGAUUAGUUUAAAACAUUCCUCUGAAAUUUCAGUAUUCAUUUUUGGAGUGUCAGUUACUACAUUUCUGUAAUUCAUCAUUUUUCCUUACUUGGCUUAGAGUCAAGAUGAGAAAUGAUAUUUAGACCAAAGACAUUGUUUUGUUAUAUAGCCACUGCUUUUUAAAAUGCAAAACCACCCUCACCAGGGCUUAAUUGUUUGUGAGUGCUUCUGUUCACACACACACACACACACACACACACACACACACACUCUGUAUAAGGUCCUUUCAAGACUUCCAGGGCCUGGGUCAUGUAAGAAGUAGAUGAGAAAAUUCAGGGAGGGCCAGAGUAGUAACAACACUACAAGUCAGAGAUUUAACUUUACAAAAGGUUAUACGUUACACAGGCAUUUUUUUAAAGCAAGUAUUAAUAUGAUUAAAGAAUAUUUGACUUCUAAAUUAUUAUGAUUCUCAUCUAAUUUCAAGUCAUAUACAGGAGCCAUUUAAAAGUAUUUUGUAUUACAAUCUGUCACCAAAAUUCAACUAGUGGAGUUUUAUAAUGUGAUAGGUUUACCCCAUGGGGAAUUAAAUUUUAAUUCAUAAGUCUUUCUAUUGUUGUGGAACUUUAAGACAAGAUAGCAUUUGGUAUUAACAGAAAAAUAUUCUGUGGCUUUUUUUUUUUUUUUUUGAAGCUUUAAAUUGCUCUAAAAAAAGUUGCACCUUGAAUUUUUUCCUCUCAGCUUUCUUUUGUUAAGUGUAUCUUCAUGAUAUUGUUUUUAAUGUACAUAUUAUUUUACUAAGUCACUUGGUAAAAAAAUUUAGAAACAUGUAAUAAUGACCUCUUGCUUUUCUUCUAACUUUAUUAUUUCAAGUCAAGCAAAAAUGGAUACUUUUCUCCCAGAAAAAAAAAUUGCAUGUGUUUUUGAUGCAAAAAUGGUAAUUUAGUUACACUAUUUUAGAUUAGCAUUUAUGAUAGAUCUUAUUUCAAAGCUGAUUCUCAAAGAAAAUCAUAGAGAUAUUAGAAUAUUCCAAGUACAUUACAUUGUUGAAAAAGUAUUUUAAUACAUUAUUCAAAUUGUUGUCAGCUAUUAAUUUUUUAAAGUAGUAUCUGCUCCAAAUGUGAAAUUUUGCUUUUUUGAAAGAACUUACAAAUUCCAAUUUUGUUAGGAACAGCAGUGGAAAUUAAUAUAAAAGUCAUAGACAAUUUAGAGCUCCUUCAAAAUUUAGAGCUCCUUCAAUUUCCCCCCCCCCCCCUUUUAAACUUUAACUGUGAUAGGCAUCUCUGCAAGGUAGGUUUUAACAUAUUUUUUCCUAAUUUUUUUUUCCUCCUUUCAGUAAGAAGGAUAAGCUUUUAGAGUACCCAGUCACCGUGGUAACUGCCAAAAAAAUUCUCCUGAAGUUUGAAGAGGUCAGCUAGCAGGGUCAACAACUCUGGCCUCUCUCUGAGCUCGGUCUAGCAUGCCCCAGCCUGCGGUUGGAGUGUCAGGCCAGAUCUGACCCUGGGAGGUGGACUAUUCCGGCUCUGAUAUAAAUUUUUUGAGUCAGUUCAUGGCCUGGACUCUCCAGGUGGCCUCUAAAAUCGAUUUUGACCCCCUGACCCUGUCUCACGGAGGCAUAGCAUCCACCCUAAGUAAGGAUUUAGCCAGGAAUGACAGCUUUCCACUGAGUGUUAUUGGGGACAGUAUAAACAGUUUGGAAAGCAAGGAAGGAGGUGUGAGUGCUAGAAAUCAUUAAAAGCACAUUAAAAAACAAUUAAAUUUUUCUUUGCUUAAAAUAUUUAAUAUGUAUAUUUGUUAUAUAAUUCUACGUGUUUUGUAAGAUUUUUUAAAUAAAAAAA
ensembl:lncRNA